UAGGAAAACUGGCUUUCUCCCUUCCCACCCUUUCUGGCCAACUAACAAGCCCUAGAGGUCACAAUGCUCUUGGCUCGUACAUCAUAAUUCCAUAGUUAUCUCUUAACAUUUCUCAUUCAACAAGUAUUUCCCUCAGCACAUAUUUGCUGAGAAUACCAUGUCCCAGGCCCUUGUUAAGUGCUGGGAAGAUGUAGAUUAAAAGCACUUUACAAGGCAGUGAAGAAAUGUGCAGGAUAAGGCAAAAGAAGGUUUGCUAAGCACAUCUGAAGGAAAAGGGCGAGCAAAGCGAUGGAGAUUUCCAUGCAAAGAAAACAGGAAGUGCAAAGGCCCUGAGGAGGGGCCACACCUGGCUUUGUUGGCUAAAAACUUAGAGAAGCAAGCACCUCAGUGAUAGGAGAGUGGUACAAGAUGAAGUCAAACAGAAAAUAGAUGGAAAAUAUCAUGCCAGGCUUUUUAUGUCAAUAAAGGAGUGAGAUUUUACUCAAAAGAAUUUGCUCUUAGACCUUACUGCGAUCAAUGCUAUGGAACCUCUUCUGAUUCUCCUACUCCAUCAUGAUAUUCACCAGUCUAUCCUCUAUCCGCAGCCAACCAUUUCAAGACUUUCAUAUGAAUGGGAUCAUACAGUAUAUGAUUUUUGUGACUGGCUUCUUUCACUCAGCAGAAUGUCUUCGAGUUUCAUCCAUGUUGUAGCAGGUAUUGGUACUUCGUUCCUUUUUAUGGCUGAAUAGUAUUCCAUUAUAUGGAUAUACCACUGUUUGUUUACCCACUACUCUGCUGAAGGACACUUGGGCUGUUUCUACCUUUUGGCUAUUAUGAAUAAUACUGCUAUAAACAUUUAUUACAAAUCUGUGUAAACAUUUAAAAAAACUGCUUAAUGUUCCAUUUUGUGGUAAAAUAUACAUAACAAAGUUUACCAUUGUAGCCAUUUUUAAGUGUACAGUUCAGUGGCAUUAAGUACAUUCCUACUUGGUCGUGCAAUUAUCACCACCAUCCAUUCUGGAACUUUUUCAUGAUCCCAUACAGAAACUAUACCCAUUAAACAAUAAUUCCUCAUUCCACCCUCCCCCAAACAUGUUUUUAUUUGUCUUAGGUACAUAUCUAGGAGUAGAAUUGCUGGUAUCUGUGUUUGUAACUACCAAACUGCUUUCCCAAAGCCCUGUGCCAUUUUAGAUUUCCACCAGCAACCUCUGAGGGUUCUAAUUUUUUCACACCCUUGCCAACACUUGUUAAUACCUUUUUGAUAAAGGCAUAUUGGUGGUGUAAAGUGCUAACUCACUGUGGUUCUGAUUUGUAUUUUCCUGAUGUUAAGCAUAUUUUCAUGUGUUUUUGGGCCACUUGUCUACUUUGGGGCCAUUUGUCAUACUUCUUUGGAAGUAUGUCUACUCAGAUCCUUGCCCAUUUUUUAAUUGGGGAAGUUGUCUUUUAUUGUUGAAUUCAAAGGUCUCUUACAUAUUCUACAUACAAGUCCAUUGACAGAUAUUUGAGUUGCAAAUAUUUUCUCCCACACUUGAUGGUGUCCUUUGAAGUACAAAUAGUCCAAUAUAUGUAUUUUCUCUUUUGUUGCUCAUGCCUUUGGUGUCAUAGCUAAGAAUUCUUUGUCAAACCCUAAGUCAUGAAGACUUACCUUUAUAUUUUCUUCUGUUUUAUAAUUUUGACCUUACAUUUCAUUUUUUGAUCCAUUCUGAGUUAAUUUUUGUAUAUGGUGUGAGGUAAGGUUCCUUUUGAAUGAAGCCAUCCAGUUGUCUUACCACUAAUCAUCAUUCUUUCUCCACUGAAUGAUCUUGACAAGCUUUUGAAAAUCAGCUGACCAUGGAUGCAUGGUUAUUUAUUUUUUUUUUCUGGAUUCUCAAUUCUAUUCCAUUGAUCAAUAUGUCUCUCCUUGUGCCAGUACCAUAUUAUCCUGAUUACCAUUACUUUGUAGUAAGUUUUGCAACUGGGAAGCAUGACUUCUACUUCACUCUUUUUUUUUUUUUCCAAUAUUGAUUUGGUCAUUCCAGGUACCCUGCAAUUUCACAGCAUGACUCCUACUUUACUCUUUUUUUUCAAUAUUG